rnacentral:ncRNA from 1 species
GGAUCACAACGGCUUCCUGACGUGAUCCGAGAUAUUAUUGGAGCG